UACAGAGGUCUCAAGCGUUGUUCGGAUUCAUUGGGCGUAAAGGGUGCGUAGGCGGUCGCGCAAGUCGGAUGUGAAAUCUCAGGGCUCAACCCUGAAACUGCAUUCGAUACUGCGUGGCUAGAGUGCUGGAGAGGAGACUGGAAUUUACGGUGUAGCAGUGAAAUGCGUAGAUAUCGUAAGGAACACCAGUGGCGAAGGCGGCUAACUGGUCCGGUUCUGACGCUGAGGCGCGAAAGCGUGGGGAGCAAACAGG
rnacentral:rRNA from 1 species